UUACGGCCAUACCACCCUGAGCACGCCCGAUCUCGUCUGAUCUCAAAAGCUAAGCAGGGUCGGCCCUUGUUAGUACUUGGAUGGGAGACCGCCUGGGAAUACCAGGUGCUGUAAUCU
rnacentral:rRNA from 12 species